GGCUCAGAACGAACGCUGGCGGCGUGCUUAACACAUGCAAGUCGAACGAACCUUCGGGUUAGUGGCGGACGGGUGAGUAACGCGUGAGAAUCUGCCCUCAGGAGGGGGAUAACGGUUGGAAACGACCGCUAAUACCCCAUAUGCCGAGAGGUGAAAAGAAAUUCGCCUGAGGAUGAGCUCGCGUCUGAUUAGCUAGUUUUUCUCCUAAUGGCGCAGCGAAAAUUCGAUCAGUAGCUGGUCUGAGAGGAUGAUCAGCCAC
rnacentral:rRNA from 1 species